UACAGAGGUCUCAAGCGUUGUUCGGAUUCACUGGGCGUAAAGGGUGCGUAGGUGGCGCUGUAAGUCGGGUGUGAAAUCCUGGGGCUUAACCCCGGAACUGCAUUCGAUACUGCAGUGCUUGAGGACUGGAGAGGAGACUGGAAUUCAUGGUGUAGCAGUGAAAUGCGUAGAGAUCAUGAGGAAGACCAGUGGCGAAGGCGGGUCUCUGGACAGUUCCUGACACUGAGGCACGAAGGCCAGGGGAGCAAACGGG
rnacentral:rRNA from 1 species